rnacentral:rRNA from 1 species
GUAGGUGGCAAGCGUUGUCCGGAAUUAUUGGGCGUAAAGCGCGCGCAGGCGGUUCUUUAAGUCUGAUGUGAAAGCCCACGGCUCAACCGUGGAGGGUCAUUGGAAACUGGAGAACUUGAGUACAGAAGAGGAAAGCGGAAUUCCACGUGUAGCGGUGAAAUGCGUAGAGAUGUGGAGGAACACCAGUGGCGAAGGCGGCUUUCUGGUCUGUAACUGACGCUGAGGCGCGAAAGCGUGGGGAGCAAACAGGAUUAGAUACCCUGGUAGUCCACGCCGUAAACGAUGAGUGCUAAGUGUUAGGGGGUUUUCCGCCCCCCUUAGUGCUGCAGCUAACGCAUUAGGCACUCCGCCUGGGAGUACGGCCGCAAGGCUG